AAACCAGCCAAUGACUCAGUUACCUGACAGUUUUUCUGCAGAAAUUUAGAGAAAGCUGGCAAUAGUAAAGCCAUGUUACAAGCCUUAAGGACACUGAAGUCCUUAGGAUCUCUGAAAAUGGCUGCAACA
rnacentral:snoRNA from 1 species